rnacentral:tRNA from 1 species
CCUUUCAUGGCGUAGUGGUAACGCGCCCCAACUAGAGAUCGGGGAGUCGUGAGUUCGAUUCUCACUGAGAAGA